rnacentral:rRNA from 1 species
UACGGGGGGGGCAAGCGUUGUUCGGAAUUACUGGGCGUAAAGGGCUCGUAGGUGGCCAACUAAGUCAGACGUGAAACCCCGGGGCUCAACCCCGGAACUGCAUCCGAUACUGCGUGGCUAGAGGUAGGUAGGGGAGAUCGGAAUUCCUGGUGUAGCGGUGAAAUGCGCAGAUAUCAGGAGGAACACCGGUGGCGAAGGCGGAUCUCUGGGCCUUACCUGACGCUCAGGCACGAAAGCUAGGGGAGCGAACAGG